rnacentral:rRNA from 1 species
UACGUAGGGUGCGAGCGUUGUCCGGAAUUAUUGGGCGUAAAGAGCUUGUAGGCGGUUUGUCGCGUCUGCUGUGAAAAUCCGGGGCUCAACCCCGGACUUGCAGUGGGUACGGGCAGACUAGAGUGUGGUAGGGGAGACUGGAAUUCCUGGUGUAGCGGUGGAAUGCGCAGAUAUCAGGAGGAACACCGGUGGCGAAGGCGGGACUCUGGGCCGAUACUGACGCUGAGAAGCGAAAGCGUGGGGAGCGAACAGG